UGAUUUGAAAACCACUAGUGCACUACACCCUACUAAUAGAUCGUCAAUAUUUUGAACCCGUUUUUCCUAAUCGGGUCGAAACAGGAGCUCCGACACCGACGGGUCACACAGCUGAAGAGUGAAGGAAAAAGGAGAAGAAUUUGAGCGGCCAUGGCAUGGAACCAUCUUCGAAACCUGAAUCGCAUCUCCAUACACCGCAUUCUUCAUCAUCGUUUUCAGCCUCUCGUCAACGCUAGGUUCUUCUCCGACGCUGCUGCUUCAUUGCCUCAACCGCAACCCAAACAGCCUUCGCCUCCCUCAUCCUUGAAGGACAAUGAACUCGCCAAGUUCGCUGCCAUCUCCGAUACCUGGUGGGAUUCUGAAGGCCCCUUUAAGCCAUUGCAUGCGAUGAAUCCUACAAGGCUUGCUUUCAUCCGCUCUGCACUAUGUCGACAUUUUAAGAAAGAUCCUUAUAGUGCUAAACCUCUCGAGGGACUUAAAAUUGUUGAUGUAGGUUGUGGAGGUGGAAUUCUUUCUGAGCCAUUAGCUCGAUUGGGAGCUACUGUGACGGGUGUUGAUGCUGUAGAGAAGAAUAUCAAGAUUGCUCAACUUCAUGCUGGUUUGGAUCCAGAAACUUCAACUAUUGAGUUUUGUUGCACAACAGCUGAGAAGCUUGUUGAAGAAGGAAGAAAAUUCGAUGCCGUUAUGGCCUUGGAGGUGAUUGAGCACGUGGCAGAUCCUGCAGAGUUCUGCAAAUCUCUGGCAGCAUUAACAAUUGCAGACGGAGCCACUGUGAUAUCGACAAUCAAUCGUUCUAUGAGAGCCUACGCAACUGCAAUUGUUGCUGCGGAAUACAUUCUCCACUGGCUUCCCAGAGGCACACAUCAAUGGUCCAGUUUUCUCACUCCAGAAGAGCUCGUCCUCAUCCUGCAACGCGCCGGUAUCAAUGUGGAGGAGAUGGCAGGAUUCGUGUACAACCCGGUGACAGGACGGUGGUCUUUGUCAGAUGAUAUCAGCGUAAAUUUCAUCGCCUUCGGUACCAAAUCGAGUAACAACGAAUAAGAUACACGAUAAAAUACGCACUACUACGAUUUAUAGUUUUUAGUAUUGAAAUUUGUAAUGAAUGGUGGAGGGAGGAGUGAAUUGCAUGAUGCAAGACUUGAUGUAGAGGAUUGCGAUGCUGUCGUCAAAGUGCAAGAGGCCAACAAGUUAGGUAUUGUAAGAGGAAUGCCGGCAAUAACACAUUUUCUAACAUACAUUAUCGAUAGUCAAUUUUUUAAAACUACAAGAUCAUCAUUGAUAGGAGUUAAAUAAGAUGAAUCACUGAAAAAGUGUAAUUUUCAAUAAAUUUGAAUCAAUUAACAGGUGUGUUCA